AGCCUCAAUCUAGAUUAGAACGGGCACUGCUGAUUGGUGUCCAAAAAUGGUCAAUGUGGCUAAAAUUGAGACACAGUUCCUGCUUCCAUCACAGUAAAGAUAUUACAGUGGUGACAAUAAGACCUGUAAUAUUU
ensembl:snoRNA